GGGAAACGACGUACGACAUCACGCUGGGCUACCAGGGUAGAGAGAGUGGAGUCCCAUUCAAUGGGUACUACUACCUGAACAUGAAGCUUACAAUCCCAGUCCGCUACGUGGCCAUAUUGAAGACCAUCCCAAUGUACACGUCGACAACCGUGUUGGCGGUGAUCGGCGGCUACCUGGGGUUCUGGCUGGGACUCUCCAUGUACAGCGGUGUCACCAAGAUACUCCUCCGCGUCCAGGCCGUCAUCGCAAAACGCAUGAAAGACCCACUCAACAAGGCCAGGUCGAUGCCUCUGUAUCAUUAUACUAGACGGCUAUCAACUUAUCCCACGACUGGCGUCGCUUCUUUUCCUGUAAAAUUGUCACGUGAACCAA